CUUUGAUACUUAAGUAACACUGCACUUUCUGAGAAUUAUGCGGAUUUUCUGAGUUAGAAGUACUGUUUUUGUAAUUCUAGGUUUCGGUCGCUCUUCAACGGCAGGAGCCGAUUGAGACGGAUUUGGCAUGUCCGAAACGGAGGCGAGGGGCUCGGAGUGCGAUGCUUGUGAUACAACGGGAUUUAAUACAUUCGGAUCAAAUUCACCGCCAACAUAAUAGGCCCGCGCGCCGUAGCCGUUUUAAUUGCUGGGCACGUCCCGACCGUCUCGAUCGUACCAUUGGUGACACUAUUCACUUACCUUGUUGCGGAACGAGGAAAGAACAGCGGUGAUUAGAGAACGCCUUGCGGAAGGCGCGCAUCUACGUGAGGACUUGUCAAGAACGCCCUGAGAGAGGCGCGCAUCGACAAAAUCGUACUCCGUCAGUAAGAUGAAUGACGCGUGAAACUAAGAGGCACCACCCUCUGAAUCAAAUUCGCUCGCGGCUAAGUCUUUCACGGCUCGCGGCUAAGUUCUUCUCGGCUCACGGAUGUCCUUCUCGGCUCGCGGUGCUCUCAAUACAUCAAUCUCGCGUAACUUAUUUGGAAAUAGAAUAGAAGAGAAUGCGAAUGCCCGAUUCACAGGGCCUGUAUAUAUACAUACUCGUUUGGUGACGUCCCGGGGUAAGGGACUACGGGGUUCACGUGGAUACGCGAGACCAUCACGUGAAACUAU